rnacentral:rRNA from 1 species
GAUGAACGCUGGCGGCGUGCCUAAUACAUGCAAGUCGAGCGAACGGACGAGAAGCUUGCUUUUCUGAUGUUAGAGGCGGACGGGUGAGUAACACGUGGAUAACCUACCUAUAAGACUGGGAUAACUUCGGGAAACCGGAGCUAAUACCGGAUAAUAUUUUGAACCGCAUGGUUCAAAAGUGAAAGACGGUCUUGCUGUCACUUAUAGAUGGAUCCGCGCUGCAUUAGCUAGUUGGUAAGGUAACGGCUUACCAAGGCAACGAUGCAUAGCCGACCUGAGAGGGUGAUCGGCCACCCUGGAACUGAGCCACGGUCCAGACUCCUACGGGAGGCAGCAGUAGGGAAUCUUCCGCAAUGGGCGAAAGCCUGACGGAGCAACGCCGCGUGAGUGAUGAAGGUCUUCGGAUCGUAAAACUCUGUUAUUAGGGAAGAACAUAUGUGUAAGUAACUGUGCACAUCUUGACGGUACCUAAUCAGAAAGCCACGGCUAACUACGUG